rnacentral:rRNA from 1 species
UACGGAGGGUGCGAGCGUUGUCCGGAAUCAUUGGGCGUAAAGGGCGCGUAGGUGGCCCGGUCAGCGUGCGGUGAAAGCUCGGGGCUCAACCCCGAGUCGGCCGUGCGGACUGCUGGGCUUGAGCACUGUAGAGGCAGGCGGAAUUCCGGGUGUAGCGGUGGAAUGCGUAGAGAUCCGGAAGAACACCGGUGGCGAAGGCGGCCUGCUGGGCAGUGGCUGACACUGAGGCGCGACAGCGUGGGGAGCAAACAGG